rnacentral:rRNA from 1 species
UACGAAGGGUGCAAGCGUUAAUCGGAAUUACUGGGCGUAAAGCGUGCGUAGGCGGUUUGUUAAGUCUGUUGUGAAAUCCCCGGGCUCAACCUGGGAAUGGCAAUGGAUACUGGGAAGCUAGAGUGUGAUAGAGGAUGGUGGAAUUCCCGGUGUAGCGGUGAAAUGCGUAGAGAUCGGGAGGAACAUCAGUGGCGAAGGCGGCCAUCUGGAUCAACACUGAUGCUGAGGCACGAAAGCGUGGGGAGCAAACAGG